UACGUAGGGUCCGAGCGUUGUCCGGAAUUAUUGGGCGUAAAGAGCUCGUAGGCGGCCUGUCGCGUCUGCUGUGAAAGUCCGGGGCUUAACUCCGGGUGUGCAGUGGAUACGGGCAGGCUUGAGGUAGGUAGGGGAGACUGGAAUUCCUGGUGUAGCGGUGAAAUGCGCAGAUAUCAGGAGGAACACCGGUGGCGAAGGCGGGUCUCUGGGCCUUACCUGACGCUGAGGAGCGAAAGCGUGGGGAGCGAACAGG
rnacentral:rRNA from 1 species